rnacentral:lncRNA from 1 species
UGGGGGCACACAGGAUUGUUCACGCAGAAAACACRUAAUCCCUCUGGGAUCCCGUCCUCUGGAAUACCACGGCAUACCCUCGCCCUUGGCUAGUGCCACUUGGAGCUGAGCAUUUCCAUUCAACCCG